rnacentral:lncRNA from 1 species
GAUGACCCAACGUUGCCUAAGUUAGAACAUGCACCGCUGCUGCCCAGGCUCCAAUAAGGGCAGGGUUGGCGCGUGUGGGCUUCUCUAAAGGGAAACAUGGCCAGUAAUUUUAAAAUCCAUCCCCUCUUCAAUGAUAGCAAAUAUAAAAGCAACGGGCUGCAAGGUACACGUAUGUUUAAUGAAAAAUGGAGGGACGUGGUCACAUUAGAUGAAUCUGUACCUUGGGACCACCACACCGUUAAUAUAUAAGACUGGAUUACAAUUAAAGGAUGAGGAAGCUUUCUCAAAGGGUGCUUUGUAUGUGUUUACUAGUUGUGCAAACCAUGAACCUCGGUAAUGUGGUUAAUAGACCAUGAAAAGGAUGUGGUUUCUGCCCUCGGCUUAAAACAAAGACAGCAAUAAGACUAAAAGUACUUCAGGGCACAUGAGAGCAAAUUUCAAUCAAUACUUAUAGGAGAGGGAAGUUAAUUUUGCCUGAAGAGAAGAUCUGGCCUGCAUUAUGCAUUAAUUAGUAUUAGCUAAAAACUAUGUGGACCUAGCCCUUAUCAUUAAAAUAAAACACUCAAGGGUUUACAAACUAUUGAAAUUUAAGAAAAUGUCUUUGCAAUGAAUGCUACUAAGACUCACUGUUAUUAAGUACAUACAUAUCAAUUCCAUAAACUCAAUGGAAAACAUUUUACUGUGCUUGUAAAAAGAAGUGACUCAUAAACAGGAAUUCUGUCAUUUUAUCACUUUCAUGAUAGAAUGAUGUGUAGAAUUUGUUUUACAAUGCUCCAGAAAUAAAAUGUAGGGAAUGGAAAGAAGAUAGGUGAAAGAAAAGUGGUGCAACAUCAGUCAGUGUUGAAGCUAAGUUCAUUUUGCUACUUUACCUACUCAUGCAUAUGUUGGAAAAUUUACAAAAUGAAAAGCUAAAAGGAGAGAGAGCAUCUUCAGCAUGAAAGACAGCCAUUACCAAAGCAUUUCCUAUCUUUAACAAAAACUGAAGUCUUAGCCUUCAGACUAAGGAUGGUAGGAAGAAAGUAGCAAGGAAGUAUGGGACUGACCUUGCCGUAAGGAGUCACAGACCAGGCUGUCUCUCUUUUGGCCUGCUGCCAUCCGCGUAAGACAUGACUUACUCCUCCGUGCCUUCCACCAUGAUUGUGAGGCUUCCCCAGCCAUGAGGAACUGUUACAAAAACCUGAGACUUCCAUUUUGCUGGAAACUUCUUUUCCUCUUGCACACUCACUCUGCGACUCUGUGUGGAGAGCUCCAUGUGACAAGGGAGGUCUGCAGCCUAAGCAACUGAGACCUCAGCCCAACAGCCCUCAAAGAACUGGAUCUUCAAACAACCACAUGAGUGACCUAGAAGCAAAUCUGUCACCAGUGCUCUUGAGACGGGCUGAAGUAUUUAAUCACCGGCACAAAAUGUCCCAGUGUUCUGUUCUCCUGCUGUGGAAAUUUUAGAGAAAAGAUCAUGAUCUAAGAGUCUACAAGACCAGAGCAGCCUGAAUUGCUGAGCUGCCUGGUGGAGAAUAGCAGCAUUGGGUGGUUCCCAGGAUUCUUAAAAGGACUUUACAAAGGCCUGGCCUAAUCACUUAAGAGCUCUUAAGGAGUGAAUGGGCUCUUCCUGAAAAAAGAGCUUCUGCUAACCCUGAAAAGCAAGCAACAACCCUGUGAACUGCUAUGGAGAGAGAUGGCCUCUAACAGCUGAGGACCUCAGUCCUACAACCACAAGAAACUGAUUUCUGCCAACAACAUGAAUGAACUUGGAAAAGGCCCCUGAGCUCCAGAUGAGAACACCCAGGUCAACUCAGGUCAUGAGCAGAGAACCCUGUUAUAUUCUCCUUGGCUUGUGAUCCAUAAACAAUGAGAUUAUAAAUGUGUGGUUUUUAAGCCAUUAGGUUUGUGGUAACUUGUUACACAAGCCUCUUUUAGAUUCUUUACAUACACAAAUAUAUUCUAAACGAAUAAUGAGUCUUCCUUUCCCAUCUUUAUACCAUUUACUUCUUAUUCUUCCCUUACCGCUUUAAGACCUCUAGUAUAAAGUUGACUAGAAAAGGUGGUAGUGGCAUUAUUGUGUAGUUCUUUAUAUCAAAGGGAAGAUUUUCAAUGUUUUCAUGUUAAGUAUGACAUUUACUGUAGGUUUUUCAUAGAUGCUCUUUAAUCAGUUUAAGCAAUUCUUGUCUAUCCCUAGAAUUAUUGUCAGGAAUAAAUGUUGACUUUUAUCGAACACUGUUUCUGCACCUUUUAAAAAUAUCAUAUUUUUUCCUUCAAAUGGUUACUGUGUUGAAUUAUAUUAGCAGACAUUCUAAUGUUAAAGUAACCUAUCAUUCCAGAGAAAAGGAGGUGAGAAUAGCAGUUUAGUUAUGAUGCUGUAUCCCUUUUAUAAAUUCUUGGAUGCAAUUUGCCAAUAUUUGGUCUAAGAUUUUUGCAUUAUGUUAAUGACUGGAAAUGAGUCUUAAUUUUCCUUUAUUUUUCUGGCUUCUUUGUGUUUCGAUAUCAAGAAUAUGCAAGUCUCAUGCAAUAAAUUCUAUGGAAGAGUU